rnacentral:rRNA from 1 species
CAGUAGCCGCGGUAAUACAUAGGUGGCAAGCGUUGUCCGGAAUUAUUGGGCGUAAAGGGCUCGCAGGCGGUUUCCUAAGUCUGAUGUGAAAGCCCCCGGCUCAACCGGGAGGGUCAUUGGAAACUGGGAAACUUGAGUGCAGAAGAGGAGAGUGGAAUUCCACGUGUAGCGGUGAAAUGCGUAGAGAUGUGGAGGAACACCAGUGGCGAAGGCGACUCUCUGGUCUGUAACUGACGCUGAGGAGCGAAAGCGUGGGGAGCGAACAGGAUUAGAUACCCCUGUAGUCCCUGUCUCUUAUACA